AUUGAACGCUGGCGGCAUGCCUUACACAUGAAAGUCGAACGGUAACAGGUCUUCGGAUGCUGACGAGUGGCGAACGGGUGAGUAAUACAUCGGAACGUGCCCAGACGUGGGGGAUAACGAGGCGAAAGAUUUGCUAAUACCGCAUACGAUCUAAGGAUGAAAGCAGGGGACGGCAAGGCCUUGCGCGUUUGGAGCGGCAGAUGGCAGAUUAGGUAGUUGGUGGGAUAAAAGCUUACCAAGCGGACGAUCUGUAGCUGGUCUGAGAGGACGACCAGCCACACUGGGACUGAGACACGGCCCAGACCCCUACGGGAGGCAGCAGUGGGGAAUUUUGGACAGUGGGCGAAAGCCUGAUCCAGCAAUGCCGCGUGCAGGAUGAAGGCCUUCGGGUUGUAAACUGCUUUUGUACGGAACGAAAAGGCCCUGGCUAAUACCUGGGGCACAUGACGGUACCGUAAGAAUAAGCACCGGCUAACUACGUGCCAGCAGCCGCCGUAA
rnacentral:rRNA from 1 species